CAGUUGAAAAUGAGGGCUCACAACCCUAUGCACACAAAUUAGAAAAUCUAGAGGAAGUGGGUAAAUUCCUGGAAGGACACAAUCUUCCAAGACUGAAUCAGGAAGAGAUUGAAAACCUGAAUAGACCACUAUCGACUUCUGAAAUUGAAUCAGUAAUUAAGAACCUGCUAACCAAAAAAAGCCCUGGCGAAUACUUCCCAGCACAUACUAUGAAGCCAGUAUUACUCUGAUACCAAAACCAGACAUAGACACAUCAAAAAAAAGAAAAUUACACGCCAAUAUCUCUGAUGAAUCUUGAUGCAAAAGGCCUCAACAAGGUAUUAGCAAGCCAAAUUCACUAAUAUGGUAAAAAGGGUCAUUCAUCAUGACCAAGUGGGAUUUAUCUCUGGCUUGCAAGGAUGUUCCAACAUACACAAAUCAAUCAAUGUGAUACAUCAUAU
rnacentral:lncRNA from 1 species